CAAAAGCAUAGCCCAAGCUCAUCAUUAGACACAUUCAAUGCUAGGUUCAAGGCACUAGUACCCUGCAGAGAGCAGUGAAACAGUGGGCCAGCCUGUGGGAAUGAUAGGCAGCCUGACCCGUUAAUAGGGCGGCCAUUCCUUUCCAGAUUGGGCCCGUCUCUUUGGGUGACAGAGUAGCUUUAAAAGCCCAGAUUAAACAGACAUCUAAAG